ACUCGGCUACGUUUGAUGCUGUUGUUCCGUGUUUGUGUGUGUGUGAGUACACACACUCUAUCGCAGCUAAAUGAGUCAUAAAAUCUGAUUAUAUGUAAAUGGCAGAUGAUAAGAACCAUGCUGUGGGAUUGAGGGAAGCAAGAAAUGAGAGUUAUGGAAUAAGCAGGAGUGAGAAUUGAAAGUGAGCGGCCAAGAAAUGGAAAAGGAGAGCUGAGAAGAAGCGAGCUGGAAAUGCCCUAAAAUUCCUGUGUUCCAGUAAAGUGUGUCGUCCUGGUGCUGGUGACUAAUCAUGUGACCAGGUGAUGUGCCUCUGCCUCCUUUGGUCUUAUUGUUGGUAAACAUGUCUUUGACUUCCUGUACAGCUUUGAGAGAGAGGAGCAACCUGAAAUGACUGAAUCAUUCAUCAGUGGUGUUUGCAAAGAAGAAAUAACGUCAUACGGGUUUGGAUCAAAAUGAUGGGACCUUAAGGUACGUCCCCUGCAACUCGAUCUCCACAUUUGGUUCCUGCAAAGAGCAAAACCAGCGCACCGGAGGACAAACAACCAAACUUUAGCGUGUAGUUCCUGUUUCGACAGUCUCAAGUUGAGACCCAUGAGGAGGACAUGAAGAAGCCAGUCUGCUCUCUCUUGGCCUUGGUCAUGACCUUGGUGCUGGUAAUGGCUUCAACUGGUAAGAACGAACUCUGAUUUAAUCAUUUUCACAGGAAUGCAUGCGCAUUUUACAUUUUUACCUGUCAGUUAGUAUAGUGAUUAAUAAAGGUCUAUUAAUUACUAUAGUUUGCUAAAUGUAGAGAAUGAAAGAGAAACGUUACGGGGCGAUGGAUAAGUUUGGAUGUAGGGAUGAAUUACUAGAAGCUGGAGGAGGUGGGGAAUGCACCUCCACACCAAAACAUUCAAAGAACAAGGAAGCAAAACUUGGGACAGUAAGAAAAGGACUUCUGAACCACUGAAAUAAGUCAUACAGAAUCACCCUAAAUGAAACACACACAUCUGCACACCCACGUUUAUAUAAUGGGGACGUACCAGACCCUUCUGUUAUAUUAGCACUAUAUAUAUAUAUAUAUAUAUAUAUAUAUAUAUAUAUAUAUAGUGCUUGAUAGUAACUGAUUAUACUCAAUAGCAGUAAAUUAUGCAUAAUUAAUUGAUUUUAUCUUUUAAAUUUUCCUUUCUAAAAUAGCCUACUGCUUAUAUUCGUUCAUAAAGUCCUCCAGUUUUGUAGAAUUUCACAGAUAGACCACUGAAAACUGAGACCCACACAGAGUUUGAUUACUGGAUUUACAGAAAUCAUCUCACUUUUAAGUGUUUUCUCAACAUUGCAUCACUCAGUAAGUCAUUUAAUCAUGCAUUACUGUCGUUGGAAGGCUUUUGUCGUUCAAAUACAGUACAGUCCAAAAGUUUGGAACCACUAAGAUUUUUAAUGUUUUUAAAAGAAGUUUCGUCUGCUCACCAA